rnacentral:lncRNA from 1 species
CUAAGACCAAAGUUAUGAAGCCAAGGGCUGUAGAUUUUUUGCUGUGUUUGGGGUUUCACAUCUGCUCCCAAGUAUAUUUGGUUCCUUUCUCUCCCUUUUCUGGAAUAGGCCUAUGCCCCCAUGCAAGGCCUACUCUGCCUCUCCUGGAAACUGGGACCUAGAGCCCACCACUCCCUCUAGAACCAUUAGAAGAUACAUCCUUCCAGACUGAGGGUUUAAGAUGAUAACAGCCUAGGCCCAUUCCCAUGUUUGCCAUUGUCCUAUUGAGUGUUGAAAGCACUUGAAAAAUAGUGUAUAUCUUUUUUGUUUAUGGAAAACCAGAAGCCCAUGGAAUGUGAAAACUGCACAGUAAAGACUUUAGGAAUAUCUGGGCCAUGUGGUGUCAAGGAAACAUCUGUCAAAAUCAAGGUUUAAGACCUCUUGGAGUUUGCUUUGUGGCCUUUUGCUUCCUACCUUGGUCCCUGCCCCUCAGAGCUAACUUUUCUAAUCUCUUCCCCUUUCUGGGCCUGUCUACCCCUCUGGUCUGUAGGGGAGAGUCAUAUCAUACCACAGUUGUAAGUUUUAAACCAUAGAGUACUAGACUU